CAAUAGACUACCCAGGUAGUCCACGCCCUAAACGAUGCGAACUGGAUGUUGGGUACAUUACGGUACUCAGUGUCGAAGCUAACGCGUUAAGUUCGCCGCCUGGGGAGUACGGUCGCAAGACUGAAACUCAAAGGAAUUGACGGGGGCCCGCACAAGCGGUGGAGUAUGUGGUUUAAUUCGAUGCAACGCGAAGAACCUUACCUGGCCUUGACAUCUGUCGAAUCCUGCAGAGAUGCGGGAGUGCCGCAAGGAACGACAAGACAGGUGCUGCAUGGCUGUCGUCAGCUCGUGUCGUGAGAUGUUGGGUUAAGUCCCGCAACGAGCGCAACCCUUGUCCUUAGUUGCCAGCACGUAAUGGUGGGAACUCUAAGGAGACUGCCGGUGACAAACCGGAGGAAGGUGGGGAUGGCGUCAAGUCCUCAUGGCCCUUACGGCCAGGGCUACACACGUACUACAAUGGUCGGUACAGAGGGUUGCGAAGCCGCGAGGUGGAGCCAAUCCCAGAAAGCCGAUCCCAGUCCGGA
rnacentral:rRNA from 1 species